rnacentral:rRNA from 1 species
GAUGAACGCUGGCGGCGUGCCUAAUACAUGCAAGUCGAGCGAACAGACGAGGAGCUUGCUCCUCUGACGUUAGCGGCGGACGGGUGAGUAACACGUGGAUAACCUACCUAUAAGACUGGGAUAACUUCGGGAAACCGGAGCUAAUACCGGAUAAUAUAUUGAACCGCAUGGUUCAAUAGUGAAAGACGGUUUUGCUGUCACUUAUAGAUGGAUCCGCGCCGCAUUAGCUAGUUGGUAAGGUAACGGCUUACCAAGGCAACGAUGCGUAGCCGACCUGAGAGGGUGAUCGGCCACACUGGAACUGAGACACGGUCCAGACUCCUACGGGAGGCAGCAGUAGGGAUUCUUCCGCAAUGGGCGAAAGCCUGACGGAGCAACGCCGCGUGAGUGAUGAAGGUCUUCGGAUCGUAAAACUCUGUUAUUAGGGAAGAACAAAUGUGUAAGUAACUAUGCACGUCUUGACGGUACCUAAUCAGAAAGCCACGGCUAACUACGUG